AAAUUGAAGAGUUUGAUCAUGGCUCAGAUUGAACGCUGGCGGCAGGCCUAACACAUGCAAGUCGAACGGUAACAGGAAACAGCUUGCUGUUUCGCUGACGAGUGGCGGACGGGUGAGUAAUGUCUGGGAAACUGCCUGAUGGAGGGGGAUAACUACUGGAAACGGUAGCUAAUACCGCAUAAC
rnacentral:rRNA from 1 species